GAUGCCAGGAUUUGAUACCUCGAGCCAUUCCGUGUUUGACAAAUGUUGCUAAGCAACAUAAAUCUGACGUUUUGGACAAAAAGGAACAGGAAAUACUUCUUACUAGAGCUCAGGAACUCAUUAACAUGUUAAAACUUCCAAACAUGGCUUCAGGGAACAUUACUCUUGUAAGAUCCUGGGCUACUACAACUUGUUGAUGACAUGGAAAGAAACCUCAGAGAUAGCCACAAACUUACUUAAUUCUCACAGAUUUUAGCAAGGGAAAUUAAUGUGUGAAGAAAACAGAAAGGCUGCAGACCAUGUUCAGAUUUAAUGACAUGCAGUUCUUUGUUCUACAGUCAUGGUGUGUUUAUGGGUGUUUUGGAAACAUUUAAUAAUGACCAUCAAAGAAAGUGACUAAUGCAGAGGUUUUGUUCACUACAUUUGUGGCCGAGCAUGAGCUGUCAUUUAAUACUGUGGACCAUUUCACUCGCUUAGUACCGCUGAUGUUCCCCGAUUCAAGCAUUGCCAAGAAAUUCGCUUGUGGAAGACAGAAAACUGCCAAUAUUAUCAACCACUGUGUUGCUCCAGAAAUUGAAUGUGAUUGAUUUGUGUAAAUGUGAAUAGUUCAGUGUUCUCAUUGAUGAGAGUUAUGACGAGGGAUCAGAUAAAUGUGUCGCAAUUCUGGUUAGAGUUCAUGAUUCGGUAGUGAGGUGUGUUGUCACCAGAACCGUGAUGUCACGGGAUCUAACGUCGUUGGCUGUCUGCAGA